GUGGGGAAUAUUGGACAAUGGGCGAAAGCCUGAUCCAGCCAUGCCGCGUGUGUGAAGAAGGUCUUCGGAUUGUAAAGCACUUUAAGUUGGGAGGAAGGACAGUAAGUUAAUACCUUGCUGUUUUGACGUUACCGACAGAAUAAGCACCGGCUAACUUCGUGCCAGCAGCCGCGGUAAUACGAAGGGUGCAAGCGUUAAUCGGAAUUACUGGGCGUAAAGCGCGCGUAGGUGGUUCAGCAAUGUGGAGGUGAAAUCCCCUGGCUCAACCUGGGAACUGCCACCAAAACUACUAAGCUAGAGUACGGUAGAGGGUAGUGGAAUUUCCUGUGUAGCGGUGAAAUGCGUCGAUAUAGGGAGGAACACCAGUGGCGAAGGCGACUACCUGGACUGAUACUGACACUGAGGUGCGAGAGCGUGGGGAGCAAACAGGAUUAGAAACCCCGGUAGUCC
rnacentral:rRNA from 1 species